UACGAAGGGGGCUAGCGUUGUUCGGAAUUACUGGGCGUAAAGCGCGCGCAGGCGGCUAUCCAAGUCAGUGGUGAAAGCCCGGAGCUCAACUCCGGAACUGCCAUUGAAACUGUUUAGCUUGAGGAUGAGAGAGGUGAGUGGAAUUCCCAGUGUAGAGGUGAAAUUCGUAGAUAUUGGGAAGAACACCCGUGGCGAAGGCGGCUCUCUGGCUGACAACUGACGCUGAGACUCGAAAGCAUGGGGAGCAAACAGG
rnacentral:rRNA from 1 species